GCCGCCGUCGAGCCCGUCCGUCGCUCUCGACCCGCCCCGGAGCCGCCCUUCGCCGUGGCCCGCAGGUCGCCGAGCCGCCGCCCCGGAGCCGCCCUUCGACGCGGCCCGCAGGUUCCCCAGACGCCGCCCUGGAGCCACCCUUCGCCGCAGCAUGAAGGAGGCUAGGACCGAGUGCAGGCAUGCGACCAGGAUCAACAGCAGGAGACAAUGUUACAUUGUGGCUGUUAUUAAUACAAUUUUGACCAAAGGAUUUAUUGUUUUUUUGACAGAUGGGCACUUGUUCACCUUUGUUGUAGCGCGGAGACUUGUUCCACAUAUUUAAAUGUCUUUUUACGUAUCCUUUGUUUGUUCUCAAUUUGGAUGCUUUCAUGCAGAUCAAGUUAUUAUUGAGGACAAAAUGAAGGGGUGCAUUGCAAUCUAGAUUUGACUAAAUAUGUGGCACAAUCUGUUGACAAACACAUUUACAUUUAAGUAUGUGUAGUAUGCUUCAGGUAAUUAACCACAACAUUUGUUUCGUCAAUUAUUUCCUUUUCAUUCAGUGAAUGUCCUUUUGUUAAAAAGCGCGAGUUGAAUGUGUAAGUACGGAAAAGGUUCUCCCAUUGGGUUGCCACUACAACGAAAUAAACAUGUAAAUGACUGUUAAACAUACUCUAUUUUUGUAAUUCAAAGGCAAUGUUUCUGCCGGUCUCUUGAAAGAACUAAAAGAAAUGCAGCAUUUAUAACUGAAUGUCUACAUUCAUUUUUGGAGAUCACAGAGCUAUAUGUUAACGAGUUAUUAUGUUGAUGCACAGUGCAUUCAAUUUAGUGAGCUUGUUAUUUUUCUGAUCGGAUUCAGUGGUAAUGGAAUUGGGUGGUGAAGAAAAGUAGCAAGCUGCAUAGGAGAAAUUCAUACGUGCACCCGCAUGAAUAAUAAUUUUCCAAAUGUCAAAUAGUUCUAGAAAAACUAUACAUAUAAAUACCUGAAUCAUCUGUGUCUUUGUAAAAUUAGUGGAAAAAUGAUUUGGGAGGAUGAGGUUGCUUUAGUCUUGACCAUGAAGUGCUCUCUGGUAGCGCUGUCGCGGCCAGUCGGCCACUCGCUCUCCAAAUCCUGCAGCUGUGCAUGGGUCCGAUGGACAGGCAUGGCGGCUCAGACCUGCGGGCUCCACGAUCACCACGGCGCUGUCUCCUGGCCUUGCCGCUGGCAGUCACCGAACCCUCACCGGAUUGUCGACCCCACAACUAACCAUCACCCUCAUCUCAUUAGUUGGCUUCCCUCUACUGGAUCUGAAUUUUUAUGGUUGGUUUGCAAAGUGCAGAUGUCUGACCUCCUCUAUGAUGAAGGCAUCGAGGAGAUGAACUUUUGCUUCUCAAGCUUUGAUUUAGUUGAGAUGUUUAAGCAAUAUUGGUCACUUCCAAGUAAAUUUUAUGAUGAUGUGAUAUAUGUCUACUAAUUUCCAUUUUUUUCCCUUUGUGUUCAGGUAUCUAUACUAAAGGUUGCAGUACAACACUAGUUGGUUACAAUUUUGUAGAUUUCCUUUUACCCUUAGUUUGUGCUCCCUCCGAUCCAAAUAUAAGUGUCGCAGCUUUGAACUAAGGUGUUCAACCUUAGUUCAAAACGGCGACAUUUAUUAUGGAUCGGAGGAAGUAGUAAAUGCCAAUUAGUAUAGUCCCUUAAGACCUAAAAAGUAGCAUAGGAUAUGGGAGCAAAAGGUUCAACGAAAACUUUUAAAACCUGAGAUGCAAGUAUAUUUUGUAGGCUUGUAGUGCAUGCUCACCUGUACGAGCUAGAACUUCCUUUGUGUUGGCGGAAGUGUUAGCCUGCCAUUAUCAGUUGAGUAUAGGGCCUGACCAGUGUUUUGGUCUUUCAUUUACUUUUUACCAACUCAAGUAAAAUGUUUGAAAUAUUAUAUCGGCCACAUCACUAGAAUUUGGUUGGACUAUGGUUGCAUGUUUAAGUCGAAAGAGGGAUCGACCUUCAACGUUGCCUCGUCAGGUUGUUUAGUUCCAACGAGGUCUAAAUCCAUUCCCCCAUCUUGUGUCGAUUGCCUUCUUAGUACUAAUGUUUCCCCUUAGUGACAUUGUCUAUUUGGUGUCCUUUUUUGUACAAAAUUACUUUAUGAUGUUCAUCCUGCUAAGCUACAGGGGUAAUAGUGCUUCCAGUAUUUGUAAUUUUAAAUCAUGGUCAAUUGAUCAGUUAUGGAUCAGAUGGCUUAGUAUGUGAAUAGAGGCUCUUUGCUCCAAUCAAUCAGUGGGAGAUCAAAUAGCUUAAGCUUGUCGUACACAAUGCAAUGUAACUAGAAUAGUCUUUAUCUUUUAAUCAGUUUCCCAGUUAUAUUUCUUCUAGAAUUUAGUUUUUUUACUUUGUGAUUUAUUGGCAUUUUGUUAGAUGAUACAUGCUUCUAAUUACAGUACAUAUCAGGUCCAAAAUCAUGAUACAUGACAGCUGCAAAGCAAAUAUAUCAAAGUUGCUCGGGUGGAUCUAUUGUGGUUCAAGCUCCUCAGGUGGAUCUAAUCAAGACAACUUAUUGACCGUCUUCCAUUUCAACUGAAGCAAUGUGGGGUGGCGCAUGUGGAGUAGGAGGGUAGAAGAGAAGAUGGAGAAGGUGGUUCUUCUGGCCUUAUGUUGAGUGUUGAAUCUGGGGUAUAUGAAAAUACUUGAGUUGAAGAAGAUCCGGUACUGGAUAUAAAUGAUUGAGGAGACGCAUGACUUAAAUAAAAAGAGUUGUGAAAAUAUGAAAUAAGGAAAUUACUGUUUUUUAUUGAGUCUUCAUCUAAAGACGACAUUUGUAUGACCCUUGCAUUCACAAAUUGAAGAAACUGUUGUCAAACACC